GAAGAGGAAGAAAGAGAAAAAGAAAGAGCUCGUGACAGAGAAAGGAGAAAGAGAAGUCGUUCACGGAGUAGACACUCAAGCCGAACUUCUGACCGGAGAUGCAGCAGGUCUCGGGACCACAAAAGAUCACGGAGUAGAGACAGAAGGAGAAGCAGAAGUAGAGAUCGACGAAGAAGCAGAAGCCAUGACAGAUCAGAAAGAAAACAUAGAUCUCGCAGUCGGGAUCGAAGACGGUCAAAAAGCCGAGAUCGAAAGUCCUAUAAACACAGGAGCAAAAGUCGGGACAGAGAACAAGAUAGAAAGUCCAAGGAGAAAGAAAAGAAGGGAGCCGAUGAUAAAAAGAGUAGUGUGAAGUCCAGUAGUCGAGAAAAACAAAGUGAAGACACAAACCCUGAGUCGAAGGAAAGUGACACUAAGAGUGAGGUCAAUGGGACCAGUGAAGACAUAAAAUCUGAAGGUGACACUCAGUCCAAUUAAAACUGAUCUGAUAAGACCUCAGAUCACACAGAGGUAAGUGCACUGUUUCUCACUUUGAUUAGGGCUUUUUGUUACUGUUUGACAGUGCAGCGUAAGUAUGCACAGACGAAGACGGAGCUAAGCCGUGUAAGAAGACAUACAAAAGCCUCUUCUGAAGGAAAAGACAGUGUAGUCCUGCAAAACAUUUGGAG
rnacentral:lncRNA from 1 species